rnacentral:rRNA from 1 species
UACGUAGGCAGCGAGCGUUGUUCGGAGUUACUGGGCGUAAAGGGUGUGUAGGCGGCCUAUUAAGUUUGGUGUGAAAUCUCCCGGCUCAACCGGGAGGGUGCGCCGAAAACUGGGAGGCUAGAGUGCGGGAUGGGAGAGUGGAAUUCCUGGUGUGAGCGGUGAAAUGCGUAGAUAUCAGGAGGAACACCGGUGGUGCAGACGGCUCUCUGGACCGUAACUGACGCUGAGACACGAAAGCGUGGGUAGCAAACAGG